AUGCAGUCUACUUUUAGAGCGGAUGAAUCCGAUUCUAGGAUAUGUUCAGUCAACAUAUUGGAAACAGUGGCUCGGUGUGAAGCGCUGUUCUCCGGUAUUAAACUGUGUUUAGUGUGGAGUGUGGAGCCUGUCAGCGGGUCUGGAGAUACAGAGGAAAAGACAGAUCAAGUGGUUUAGUGUUUGCUCCGUCAUUUUAGAAGAUGGUUAAUGUACUGAAAGGAGUUCUUGUGGAAUGUGACCCGGCCAUGAAGCAGUUUCUCCUGUACCUGGAUGAGACGUCUGCUUUGGGGAAGAAGUUUAUUAUUCAGGACUUGGAUGACACGCACGUCUUUAUUUUGGCUGAAGUUGUGCCGAUACUUCAGGAGAAAGUUGGGGAGCUCAUGGACCAAAACUCUUUUCCCAUCACUCAGAAAUAAGCUCUGAAAUCUUGACGUGUUCUACUUGUCUCUUGGCAUUCCUGAAUCUGAGUAGCACUGGACUAAGAAUGUGUUUCCUAUGAUAAAUAUCUAAAACAGAAGAUUGUCUGCAAUGUUUCAUUGUUAACUUGUGUUUCACUGUUUUACGAGUAUGAAUCAUGCAUAUUAUUUCUAAAUGUUCCCAUUAUUGGUCUGUUACCAACUAGUGUUUAAAAAUGCUUUGAUCCUGCAGUGGAAAUAAAGCUGAUGAAAUCCUAAUUUAUUUUACUUUGAUUUGGCUCCAAUGAUGUAAAUGACCCUCUUCAUGUAUGAUCUUUUUAUUACAGGGUGGGGCUGUGAGGUGUUUAAUGAUGUGAUUUAGAACACUGAACA
rnacentral:lncRNA from 1 species